UACGGCGGAUUGGGGAGAAAGGGGGAGACCUCCAGGCCUUAUGCUGUUUGCCCCAUUACCUGCGAGUUUGGCAGGGCUGGGAGAGGA